rnacentral:rRNA from 1 species
AGUGAACGCUGGCGGUAGGCCUAACACAUGCAAGUCGAACGGCAGCACAGUAAGAGCUUGCUCUUACGGGUGGCGAGUGGCGGACGGGUGAGGAAUACAUCGGAAUCUACUUUUUCGUGGGGGAUAACGUAGGGAAACUUACGCUAAUACCGCAUACGACCUACGGGUGAAAGCAGGGGAUCUUCGGACCUUGCGCGAUUGAAUGAGCCGAUGUCGGAUUAGCUAGUUGGCGGGGUAAAGGCCCACCAAGGCGACGAUCCGUAGCUGGUCUGAGAGGAUGAUCAGCCUCACUGGAACUGAGACACGGUCCAGACUCCUACGGGAGGCAGCAGUGGGGAAUAUUGGACAAUGGGCGCAAGCCUGAUCCAGCCAUACCGCGUGGGUGAAGAAGGCCUUCGGGUUGUAAAGCCCUUUUGUUGGGAAAGAAAAGCAGCAGGUUAAUACCCCGCUGUUCUGACGGUACCCAAAGAAUAAGCACCGGCUAACUUCGUG